AUUGAACGCUGGCGGCAUGCCUUACACAUGCAAGUCGAACGGCAGCACGGGUGCUUGCCCCUGGUGGCGAGUGGCGAACGGGUGAGUAAUACAUCGGAACAUGUCCUGUAGUGGGGGAUAGCCCGGCGAAAGCCGGAUUAAUACCGCAUACGAUCUACGGAUGAAAGCGGGGGACCUUCGGGCCUCGCGCUAUAGGGUUGGCCGAUGGCUGAUUAGCUAGUUGGUGGGGUAAAGGCCUACCAAGGCGACGAUCAGUAGCUGGUCUGAGAGGACGACCAGCCACACUGGGACUGAGACACGGCCCAGACUCCUACGGGAGGCAGCAGUCGGGAAUUUUGGACAAUGGGCGAAAGCCUGAUCCAGCAAUGCCGCGUGUGUGAAGAAGGCCUUCGGGUUGUAAAGCACUUUUGUCCGGAAAGAAAUCCUUGGCCCUAAUACGGUCGGGGGAUGACGGUACCGGAAGAAUAAGCACCGGCUAACUACGUG
rnacentral:rRNA from 1 species